rnacentral:rRNA from 1 species
UACGUAGGCAGCAAGCGUUGUUCGGAAUUACUGGGCGUAAAGGGUGCGCAGGUGGUUGUGCGCGUGGGGGGUGAAAUCGCCCGGCUUAACUGGGCGGGGGCCUUCCAGACCGGCGUGACUUGAGGCGCGGAGGGGGACGUGGAAUUCCGGGUGGAGCGGUGAAAUGCGUAGAUAUCAGGAGGAACACCUGUGGCGAAAGCGGCUCACUGGACCAUAACUGACGCUGAUGCACGAAAGCUAGGGGAGCAAACAGG